GAAGAGCUGGGGACUGAAGGACUGAUUGGAGAUGGAACCCAGCCGGAGAGGAAUAGGAGGGACUGGUACAAAGUCAGUAAGUUGACAGUAGAAAGGUGAUUGCAUUAAGAAAGUCUGUAGCCACCUUUUGUGCAUUAGAGGGAAUCCACAGAAAGAGUAAGACCCUGCGAGCCUAGCCCUGAGGGAAGGGCAUACCCACAGAGCGAAGGAUGGAGAAGAAAGCCUAUGGGAAGCAAGUAGGAAGCAGCCUGGGGGAGAGCAGCAAGGCUGGGGACUGAGCAGACCUUGACUGUGUGUUAGGGUCACUGGGCUAGAAUCUGGAGUGGUGGGUAGGCCUGGGUUCUCCUACUAGCCCCUGGUGGAGUGGUAUUGUCUGGACAACAGAUACAGUGAGACGCUAUACUCCAGAAGGGGAAGUCACACAGUGACCUGGCCAUAGAUUCCUGGAGCGAGAGUGGGACUUCAGAGUGAGAGAGAAGACAACGGGGAAGAGUCUGCAAGUGAAGGUGUCGGACCUGAAAGAGAGAAUUCUCAGAACAGCCAGGAAGAGAUGCUACUGGUGGCUUCCGAUCAGGGCCAGCUUCUGCUGCUGUGGCUGCUGGGAGCAGAGGAUUUGUGAGAUGUUGCCAGAGGCAGCCUGGGCACUCCAUGGAAAUUUGACACCUUGCUGUCCGACAGGGGGAGUGUGAGUGGAUGUCAUCCAAACGGCGUCUAUCUCCAUUCUCGUUUGCCUCUGGAAUGGGCUGCCCCAGACUGACACAGACACUGGAGAGAGUUAGGGAGAGCAGCAGCAGCCGGAUGGAUGUCAUUGUGGGAGAGGAGUUCCUGCAGCUUUCAUGGGAAAGUAAAGGACAGGGGAGAGCAAUGGAACAAAACCAACAACAAUUACAGUGUACCCAGUAACUCAGGAAGAAGCCUGGUAGUUGCUGACAGAAACCAGCCGCCAGAUCUGCAUGGAUGCUGCUGCCCCUUUUCUUCAUCUGCCACUAGCAUUUAACUGCUCUCCAGGGUGCUAUCCUGAAACCAGGAUCAGAAGGUGUAUUGGACAUUAUUACAAUGCACCAGAUUUAAGUCCAUAUCAGACAUGUGCAGAGGUCACCUGGUCCUGAUCUGGCCCUACAAAAUUGUAUUUGUUGCUAUUCCAACUAAUUUGUGAAUGGAAUCCAUGUGGAGCAUCGUCUGAGGUGUAUAUUUGGGAUCGGGAAUCCCUGGUGUGUGAGCUGGCCCUUGACUUAGUAGCACAAUUGUACCAGUUCCACUGUCUUUUGGGCCUUGGAUCUGGGAGAGAAAAGGCAGCAUUUGGCAUGUGAAUCCCUAAUGGAAAAAUCCUAUAGAACCAAAUAUGGAUGAAGCCAAUAGCUUUCUAUAGAAAUUACCAUAAUGCCCAUUGAAUUGAAUUUAAAAAGAGAACUUUUCUGUAGCUUUUUUGCAGAAUUUUCUAUUAAACUCUAAAUGA